rnacentral:rRNA from 1 species
UACGUAGGGGGCAAGCGUUGUCCGGAUUUACUGGGCGUAAAGAGCGUGUAGGCGGCCACGCAGGUCCGUUGUGAAAACUGGAGGCUCAACCUCCAGCUGUCGACGGAAACCGUGUGGCUAGAGUCCGGAAGAGGAGAGUGGAAUUCCUGGUGUAGCGGUGAAAUUCGUAGAUAUUCGGAAGAACACCAGUGGCGAAGGCGACUUACUGGACGAUUGUUGACGCUGAGGUGCGAAAGCGUGGGGAGCAAACAGG